GGGUUGUGAGGUUAAGCGACUAAGCGUACACGGUGGAUGCCCUGGCAGUCAGAGGCGAUGAAGGGCGUGCUAAUCUGCGAUAAGCGCCGGUAAGGUGAUAUGAA
rnacentral:rRNA from 14 species